CCUACGGGGGGCAGCAGUGAGGAAUAUUGGUCAAUGGACGCAAGUCUGAACCAGCCAUGCCGCGUGCAGGAAGACGGCUCUAUGGGUUGUAAACUGCUUUUGUACGGGGGUAAACUCAGAUACGCGUAUCUGUCUGAAAGUAUCGUACGAAUAAGGAUCGGCUAACUCCGUGCCAGCAGCCGCGGUAAUACGGAGGAUUCAAGCGUUAUCCGGAUUUAUUGGGUUUAAAGGGUGCGUAGGCGGUCGGUUAAGUUAGUGGUGAAAUUCCGAGGCUCAACUGCGGAAUUGCCUUUGAUACUGUUCGGCUAGAGUGUAGUUGCGGUAGGCGGAAUGUAUGGUGUAGCGGUGAAAUGCUUAGAGAUCAUAAAGAACACCGAUUGCGAAGGCAGCCUACCAAGCUACUUCUGACGUUGAGGCACGAAAGUGUGGGGAGCAAACAGGAUUAGAUACCCUAGUAGUC
rnacentral:rRNA from 1 species